rnacentral:snoRNA from 14 species
UCCCAAGCCCCAUCAUGCCAGGUCUGCAGUGAGCCUUUGCCUUCCUACAGAGCUUGCCAGAACCUCUGAGGCAUGGUUUGAGCCCCACCCCUUCUUCAUCCAAGGCAAGGCUAUAGAAAAGUCAGACCAUU